rnacentral:rRNA from 1 species
GCUUCUCUGUCGGCGAGUGGCGAACGGGUGAGUAUAGCAUCGGAACGUGCCAAGUAGUGGGGGAUAACCAAACGAAAGUUUGGCUAAUACCGCGUAAGCUCCAAGGAGGAAAGUAGGGGACCUAAAUAAGGCCUUACGCUAUUUGAUCGGCCGAUGUCGGAUUAGCUAGUUGGUGGGGUAAUGGCUCACCAAGGCAAUGAUCCGUAGCGGGUCUGAGAGGACGAUCCGCCACACUGGGACUGAGACACGGCCCAGACUCCUACGGGAGGCAGCAGUGGGGAAUUUUGGACAAUGGGGGAAACCCUGAUCCAGCCAUGCCGCGUGUAUGAAGAAGGCCUUAGGGUUGUAAAGUACUUUUGUUAGGGAAGAAAAGCUAGUUUUUAAUAAAAAUUAGUGAUGACGGUACCUAAAGAAUAAGCACCGGCUAACUACGUGCCAGCAGCCGCGGUAAUACGUAGGGUGCAAGCGUUAAUCGGAAUUAUUGGGCGUAAAGCGAGUGCAGACGGUUACUUAAGCCAGAUGUGAAAUCCCCAAGCUUAACUUGGGACGUGCAUUUGGAACUGGGUGACUAGAGUGUGUCAGAGGGAGGUAGAAUUCCACAUGUAGCGGUGGAAUGCGUAGAGAUGUGGAGGAAUACCGAUGGCGAAGGCAGCCUCCUGGGAUAACACUGAC